CCAACGGCUCUCAUAAGAGCCACCGAUAAAGUCAGUCCAGAAUAUU
rfam:Anopheles epiroticus strain epiroticus2 unplaced genomic scaffold supercont1.266, whole genome shotgun sequence.